GCUUCCGUAGCUCAGUUGGUUUUAGAGUGCGAGUUUCGUAAACUCGAGGUCCCGGGUUCGAUUCCCGGCGGAAGCU
rnacentral:tRNA from 1 species